CGUAAAUUACUCACCUCUCGUUACACCGGGCAGCUAAUUAAUCUUUUUCUUGCAUUGUUCUGCAAAUAUCUUUUGAUUUUUGGUUUUCCAGCCAAUUUGGCCUAAAAAAAUUUGUUGGAGUUAAGAGCUUGCAUUCACUUAGAAAGAUGAUGAAGAUAGAGAGGUUAUUGAAGACGACCGCAAGCUCGUUGUGGAUCCUCCUCACCACUAAAAUGUUAGUAAUUGUAAAUGUAAACUAGAUUUUGUUCCGUGCUUUGAAAGUGCCGAUAUUUUUCUUUGCAAAUUUUAUAUAAAUGUGUGAAGACGCGGAUGUUGUUUGAGCCAAUCAAAAAAAUAUUUUUUUUUGUUUAUUACAGCUGAUUUGAUUUUA